rnacentral:misc_RNA from 1 species
GGCUCAUGAGUUUAAUUCCCCUAUGUUCAUGAAGAAAUAUGAGACAAAAAUGAGAAAAAAAAUUAGUAAUAAGAAAAUAGGAAAUGGUUUACAAUGACUAUCUCAGGACUGGAUAAUACAAUCCUAAUGAGAUUUAAGGGCCGUAUAUGUAAUUGUUUCAGAUUUUAUCUUGAAGGAUUUUCUCAACAUCAAACAAAUUUUCACAGAUUAAUUCCAUUUAAGAACAACAUUUAUGUUGAUGUGGAAUAAUUUCUCUUUUAAUUCACUAAAUCAAAAGAAUUCAACCUGAAGUAUCCAAAAAUAGAAAUUCCAGGCACACAAUGAGCCAUUUACUAGAGAAGUAUACAAAAACAGAUUUGUUAGAUUGGGAAUUCUUACUG